AGGUUCUAGGAACCAAGAAUCCUACUGAUGCAACUCUAGUUCUCUCUAAAAUGGAAAGAAUUCUCUCAAAGAUUGUCGAACUUGCAGUUCCACUGAAGGAGAAUCAGAGAUUGGAGAUUAUUUUUGAUGGAAAGAGGGAACACCUCACCUUCUACAAGGUGUCCCAGGAAUAAGGAAACCAUCUCCAGGUGUCCCAGGAGUAGGGAAACCAUCUCCAGGUGUCCCAGGAGCAGGAAACCAUUUCCAGGUGUCCCAGGACUCAGGAGUAGGGAAACCAUCUCUGGGUGUCCUAGCGUCCCUGAAAUAAGGACACCUUCUCUAGGUUUCCCAUGAGUAGGCAAACCUCUUGAUGAUCAUCUCCUCAAAUUCGUUCUGCAUUUUUACAUAACCAGACUGCAUACGUCAUACUCUGUACAAUGAAGAGUGUACUCUCUACUUUCUAGUCUUGAGAAUCUACAAUUCAUAGCUUAUUAAGUGUACAGUAUGCAGUGUACAGUGUACAGUGUACACUAUGAUACCUUUUUUCUUCGAGAGGAUUAAUAUCUAAGUCUCAUAUUUUACGCAAUAUUUAAACUCCCCGCUUCCAGUUUUUCAGUAAUAAUUCACGCUUGUUGAUGGAAACUUUUGCUUUGUUUUAUUAAAGAUAGAACUCAAAUGAUUUCAUGAAUUCAUAUCAAAAUUAGUUAUUCUAUUCUCUGCUUCAAUUGAAAGGAAUGUCAAGCUUGAAAUUAGGUUGACAAUCUAUUUAAGCAAUAAGCAUUCAAAGCACAUUUUACGAUUUCAUGCCAUUCCUCCCCACCCUCACUCUCUUUCGUGUCAUCUUAACUCCUUUCAACGAUUCCGUAACCGGUGUCAUAGUGCCACUUGAUAUUCAGCGCCUUAUAUUUUUUCAGACUGUAACAUAUUUUUUUCAGAAAACAAAAUGUCAACUUGACAGAUUUUACACUGAAGAAAGAAGAAUAGUUCAACAAGCUUAGAAUGAAGAGAAAUCAACCUUCGGACAAUGGGGUCGUCAGGCAUCA